rnacentral:lncRNA from 1 species
UGGAAAUUGAACCAGAGACGUAUAUGUCUGAUUGAACCAAAAAUAUUUUUUUUUAGCAGUUUUUUUUUUUUUUUUUUUUUUUUUUAUAAAGUAUUGUUAUGUUUACCAGGGAAAAUGAAACAACAAACAUAUCUUGUUUGUUUAAUAACACUCUUUAAUACCAGUGUUUACAAUAUCAAAAACGUAUCCGUGGUAUCCGUAUAUAUGAGUAUAUGAUCGUAUCAUGAUCUAUCACUUUGAAAACGAGUAGUCGUUCGUCGAUUGACAGAGUUGUCUUUUCAUCAAUACAAAUGGCGGUCGGAAACGAAAAGUCAAACGGUUAAUUUAGGAGAGAUAAAAAGCUUCGGUUUUGCUAUAAACGAUGUUUAAAUGACAAAAAACGAGUGAUAAGAUAAAUAAGAAGACUCGGAUAUAAUGAUUUGCUGAAUUAUAUCCGUUUAA